GGCGAACGCUGGCGGCGUGCCUAAUACAUGCAAGUCGAGCGGACAGAAGGGAGCUUGCUCCCGGAAGUUAGCGGCGGACGGGUGAGUAACACGUGGGCAACCUACCCUGUAGAUCGGGAUAACAUCGAGAAAUCGGUGCUAAUACCGGAUAAUCAUUUGAAGUGCAUGCUUCGAAUGUAAAAGAUGGCUCCGGCUAUCACUACGGGAUGGGCCCGCGGCGCAUUAGCUAGUUGGUAAGGUAAUGGCUCACCAAGGCAACGAUGCGUUGCCGACCUGAGGGGGUGAUCGGCCACACUGGGACUGAGACACGGCCCAGACUCCUACGGGAGGCAGCAGUAGGGAAUCUUCCGCAAUGGACGAAAGUCUGACGGAGCAACGCCGCGUGAGUGAUGAAGGUUUUCGGAUCGUAAAGCUCUGUUGUUAGGGAAGAACAAGUGCCGUUUGAAUAAGGCGGCACCUUGACGGUACCUAACCAGAAAGCCACGGCUAACUACGUGCCAGCCGCCGCCGUAAAAC
rnacentral:rRNA from 1 species